UCUGAAACGGAAAGGAAUGGAAGUUUGUUUAUACUUUUCUUCUGAAACGGCAAGGAAUGAAAAUUUUACAGUGCAAGUCCAUGAUUGCAUUCUCUAGCUCUCUUUAGAGGUUGAAAGAGUUUAGAGUGAGAAUUGAAGAAAACAUUGGACUUUUUCACCUUAGGAAAAGAAUCUCUUUGUAAAGAAGGUUAUUGGUGUUCAAAGGGAUUUGAUAGACGCUUAUUGUGUUGUGGAAUGUGGACCUGGAAAUGAAACAUUUGUAGCUUCGUUAGAGGACCCGAUGACCUCGGCUAACCUUCAUCAAUAGGGCAGUUUUAAGUUUGGCAUUUGGUUUUGGAAGUCGACGGUAGAGGAAUGGAGGUGAAGUCGGGCUCCAUGUUUGGUUAACUUUCGCUCCAUCGAUUGUGAUGGAAGAAGAGAUAAAAGGAUGCUUUCUUGAAUUGGAGCUAUACGAUAAGGAUCUUCAGAAUUAAAUAAGCACAGAUAACGACAUCUUCCAGGUCAUAAUCUCCGCGGCAAGAAUUUCUCCCCUACAGUAAGGUCAUGUGUCUUCGUAAUCUGUUCAGCCAUUUUUGGUGAAGAGACGAGUAGAUGAAGCAGCAGAAACCUCACUAAUUUGUAGUUGCGUAAGUGGUCAUAUCAGGGGAGUGUACCUAUUGCGUGAGAUAUUGAUGCUUUUCGCAGUAGACAUGUGGAAAUGGAGAAUAUAGGUAGAUUCGGGAAAGGUCAUUUGGUGUUUCUGGAACUGGUUUUAUUAUUUUUCUGGAGGUCAAAAGGUGUCAGGAAGAGUGGGAACAGGACUCCUUGUGUAUCUUACUAAAUUAUUCAUCGUUUAAAUACUAUAUUACAAUAUUAUCCCCUUCAGGAGUUUUAAAAUAAUAGUUGCGUAAAGGGCCUAUCUUUCUUGGCUAAGAGUUUGAUGUUGUGAAGCGGUAAGGGGAUGUAACAUUAACUGGUCCAAGUUUUCCUAGGUUGUUUCUUUGGUUCUGGAAGGAAACUUAAGUUUCAAUUAGUUCUCGAUCUCCAUGUUGCUUUCGUCAAGAUUACUAUCAACAAUGAGAGGAGGAAAGCAAAGGGUAUUUUGGCAUGGUGUAGUCGGAGGGUGUGAUGCAGCCAAGGGAAAUAAUUGAAGCUCAAUUACAUGAGAAAAAUUGAAUUGCAGUGAGAUGAUAGAAAGAAAGGUUUAUUUCACACGAUUUUGUACGUUGGAAAAAUUUGUAUGUGUAUAUGGUAGAAGGUGAAGGAAUAUUACUAAAUGGACGGGAAUCAAAUAUAAAUCAUUUUGUCUUCUGAUGGUCGCGUCGAAUGACUCCGACAUGUCUAGUUCUUCUGGAAGAUUCUGUUCGGGAGCUUCCAGUUGAGGUGGUAUUCUAGAUGAGCAAGUAGAAGCUCCAUACUUGAUGGUACCAAGUGUUAAGUAACCCUGGACACAUCCUCCUACCAGCGGCCCGCCCCAUAUGCUAGAAGCUCGCUGUUUGCCUCUAUCAGCAUAGACGAGGUUGUGCAUGUUCGUAGACAGUUUCAGUGUUUGGCCACAUGGAAAGGUGAAGGAGGACUGUAAGGGAUGGGAAUUAAGCAUAAAUCUUUCCUUCUUUGGACGGUUGCGCCGAAGGUCUCCGACAUAUCCAAAUCUUCUGUCUUGACACCACGGAAGUUUCCAAUCGAAAUGGUACAGUAGAUGAGCAAGUACAAGCUCCAUGUUGGCUAUCCCAAGUGCCAGCCCUGGGCACAUCCUCCUACCAGCACCAAAUGCAUCUCUAAUUUUGGCUUCAGACCACUAAUGAAAUGAAGGAAGUACAGCGAAGGAAACACAUCACUGAUGUCGAAACCACCUGCCAAGCCACGAAUGAGAUGCUUUGAAUGAGAUUUGAAAUCUCUUCCUCUCUUAGCGAUCUGAAUGACCGGACUUGUUUAGCACUCAAUAAUUCCAGCACGAAAAUCCUUCGCAAUUGCCUCCAAUAAUUACCGUAAGGGGAGAAAGAGACAUUUGUACAAUCAUAAGAUGAAAUCUUAGCAGCAAGGAUUUCGCUUCUAUCAGCAAAAAUAAGGUCAUGGGUCUUCAUAACCUGUUCGGCAACUUUUGGCGAAGAAAUGACUACGGCAG